CGUGCCUGUAAGGAUCGGGUGAAGGAAGAGGGCAUCUUCAUUACUUAGCUUGUGCAUCUGUGGACUGGGGACAGUUGGAUGUAGACCUCCCUUAGCAGCCCACUUGGCUACUGGAACCUCCCUGGGAAGUGGUUAUACCCCCAGCAGGGAACCUGCAGUUCCGAGCUCAGGCCACAAGGUGGCAGCAUGGGGGAAGAAAGCUGGUUCCCAACUCCCUGCUGAGGACGCCCAGGCUGGCCUGUGGGCAAGAGAAGUGUCCACCGUGGUCCUUCCAGAGUGGCUCAUUAUUAAACAUGAAAUGAGGCAGAAGCUUGUAAGCCCGAUAGCUGGGGAAGGGCAGCAAGGAGAGGCAGGUAUGACUUUCUAGAAAGUAAAUCUCUAAGCCUGUCAGUCCUUAGCCAUCAACCACCACAGAGGGGUGCGUGUGUGUGUGUGUGUGUGUGUGUGUGUGUGUGUGUGAAUGUACGAGUGUCUAUGUGUCUAUAUGUGAAUGUGUGGGUAUGUAUGUGUGUUGUGUGUGUGAGGGUGGCUGGUGACUUUGUAUACGUGAGUGUGGGGAUGGGGGAAGGGGGAAGCAGCAGGCUCAGGUGUCUGUCGCCAGCAAGGCUGGGAGGAAACCAUAAACCUUUAUCAGCAAGCCCUUCACCUGGGUUAAGAAGGGCAGAGUGCAAAGUUCACAUAGAUAGUAGCCACUGGGAGGAGCGAAGCAUGACGCUGGUGCUGGAGAGUCGGGGUGGCUCUCCAGUGGGACAGGCAGGGCCGAGGACACUAAGUUCCACUUAGCCCCAGGGUUAAGAAUGGAUUCUGGGGGCACCUGGGUGGCUCAGUCGUUAAGCGUCUUGAUCUCAGCUCAGUCAUGAUCUCACGGUUCGUGGGUUCAAGUCCCCAUGUCAGGCUCUGUGCUGACAGUGUGGAGGCUGCUUGGGAUCCUCGCUCUCUCACUCACUCAGUCUCCCUCUCUCUCUCUCUCUCUCUCCCUCUGCCCCUCCCAUGCACACACUCUCUCUCAUAAACAAAUAACUUAAAAAAAAAAAAAUGAAUGGACUCUGGGCCCAGCAGAGCCAGGUUCGAACCAGCUCAGCUAUUUUCAAGUGGGGCAGGUGCUUCCUGGACUUCCUUUUCUCCACCUGUAAAAUGGCAGAAAUAAUCAGUCCUGCCUUCCUGGCUGCGUGUGAGGAUUCAGAGAUAUGCCAUGCACUUAGGAGGCCUAGUGUGUGGUGAGUGUGUGUCUGUUGCUUGUGGAGAAAACAUGAAAUCACGCUAUUCAAGAAGGCCCCCCCCUUUUUUUUUAAUGUUUACUUUUUUAGAGAGAGAGAGUGUGAGCAGGGGAGGGGCAGAGAGAGAGGGAGACACAGCAUCGGAUUCAGGCUCCAGGCUCCGAGCUGCCAGCACAGAGCCCGAUGCAGGGCUCGAACUCAGGGACCGUGAGAUCAUGACCUGAGCUGAAGUGGGACGCUCAACUGACUGAGCCACCCAGGCGCCCCAAGAAGGCCCUUGUGUAGCCUGGACCACACCUGCCACUUGUAAGACAGGACCUUUCUAAUGGUGGAAUGGGUCUUGCUGCAAAGUGGACUGGGUGGAGAGCAUCUGGUGUCAUUGGGAUCACUUUGAAACUACCGCCUCACAUUGGGAGCUGGCUUGAGUCAACUGGUCACCAUGGAAUUUCUUUUUUUAGUGCGUAAACAGCCAAGUUACAGGCAGCUGUUGCCCCGUCCGGGGUGGAAAGACGCCUGUUGAUGUGGAGCUGCCUGGCUCAUAUUUCUUAGGCAAACAGAUGCCAUGUCUCUCAACUCACCAAACAGGAAGCCCAGAAACUGUGGUUUGGAGACCACACGUCUAGUUAUGUCUCGUUAUUCAGGGGGGCUUCACCUGGGGAGCCCUCUCUGAAUGUCAAAGCUACAAGAUAAAGGACACAAAUGGGAGCUGGGGUGCUUCUUCUUCUUAGGGGCCACCGCAGGAGGCGGUGAGCGCUAAGUGCCAGGUCAGUGAGGAAACUCUGUUUUGGGGCCAAAGCAUAAAAAACCCCCAGCCACAAACCACUGAGCCUUGAGUGAAUGCUUGUUCCGUGCAGGUUCUGAGCCCAGGGAGGUCCUCUGAGGGGAGAGGAGGCAGGGAGCUGGAAAUUCGAAGUAGGAGGAAGAAUUAUGCUGGAUGGGGUAAGGCCCUUCAAGAGGUGGGAACAGCAUGAGCAAAGUCAUGGAGGUGGGAACGUAUACGUGAGGAAGAGUUUGGUUGGAACAGAGUUUACAACAAUAAAUAAAUCCA